rnacentral:rRNA from 1 species
AGCCUGAGAUGUGAUGCCGAGCCGAUUGUGGUGAAGUGGAUGAUCCUAUGCUGCCGAGAAAAGCCUCUAGUGAGUGUUGUGGCGGCCCGUACCCUAAACCGACUCAGGUGGUCAGGUAGAGAAUACCAAGGCGAUCGGGUGAACUGUGGUUAAGGAACUCGGCAAAUUGCCCCCGUAACUUCGGGAGAAGGGGGACCUCUGCUGGUGAUGGGCUUUACGUUCUGAGCUGGUGGGGGUCGCAGUGGCCAGGGGGAAGCGACUGUUUACUAAAAACACAGGUCCGUGCGAAGUCGUAAGACGAUGUAUACGGACUGACGCCUGCCCGGUGCCGGAACGUUAGGGGGACCGCUUAGCCAGCUUCGGUUGGCGAAGGUGAGAACUUAAGCGCCGGUAAACGGCGGUGGUAACUAUAACCAUCCUAAGGUAGCGAAAUUCCUUGUCGGGUAAGUUCCGACCUGCACGAAUGGCGUAACGACUUCCCCGCUGUCUCAACCACAGACCCGGCGAAAUUGCACUACGAGUAAAGAUGCUCGUUUCGCGCAGCAGGACGGAAAGACCCCGGGACCUUCACUACAGCUUGACAUUGGCGUUUGGAACGUCUUGUUAGGAUAGGUGGGAGACUAGGAAGCUGUCACGCUAGUGAUGGUGGAGUCAUUGGUGAAAUACCACUCUGGUCGUUUUGAACGUCUAACUCUGGUCCGUGAUCCGGAUCGGGGACAGUGUCUGGUGGGUAGUUUAACUGGGGCGGUUGCCUCCUAAAGAGUAACGGAGGCGCCCAAAGGUUCCCUCAGCCUGGUUGGCAAUCAGGUGUUGAGUGUAAGUGCACAAGGGAGCUUGACUGUGAGACUGACAGGUCGAGCAGGAGCGAAAGCUGGGACUAGUGAUCCGGCAUCGGCGUGUGGAAGCGGUGUCGCUCAACGGCUAAAAGGUACCCCGGGGAUAACAGGCUGAUCUUCCCCAAGAGUCCAUAUCGACGGGAUGGUUUGGCACCUCGAUGUCGGCUCGUCGCAUCCUGGGGCUGGAGUAGGUCCCAAGGGUUGGGCUGUUCGCCCAUUAAAGCGGUACGCGAGCUGGGUUUAGAACGUCGCGAGACAGUUCGGUCCCUAUCCGCUGCGCGCGCAGGAGACUUGAAGGGGGCUGUCCCUAGUACGAGAGGACCGGGACGGACGAACCUCUGGUGUGCCAGUUGUACCGCCAGGUGCACGGCUGGUUGGCUACGUUCGGAAGGGAUAACCGCUGAAAGCAUCUAAGCGGGAAGCUCGCCUUGAGAUGAGGUCUCCCACCCCGUGAGGGGGUAAGGCUCCCGGUAGAUCACCAGGUUGAUAGGCCGGAGGUGGAAGCACGGUAACGUGUGGAGCUGACCGGUACUAAUAGGCCGAGGACUUGACCU